rnacentral:tmRNA from 1 species
GGGGAUGUCCGGUUUCGACAGGGUCGAACGCCAGGUCAUUGCACGCCGAAGCGCCCGAGGCUUCGUAAAAACGGGCAAAACAAUAGUUGACAACAAUCAACUUGCUUACGCUGCCUAAGUCACUGACCUCUAGGUAGCGCGUCCCACGAUUCUCUCUCCGUCGGAAUCGGUUCGGGGCGCCACCAAGACGGGGUGCUGCGAUUCAGACCGCUGAUUCGAGAUCGCUCAAGCCAAUUCAGCAACCUGCUACGAGAGCCGGUCGAUGGGCGCUCCAGGCAGGUACAAAACAUCGACUAAGCGUGUAGUAGAUGGCCGGUUGACGGUUCUGGACGGGGGUUCGAUUCCCCCCAUCUCCACCA